UUUCCCCCUUGGAAUGCUGCUGCCAUCACCACGUGGAAAAGCCCGAUCCGGCCUUCCUGAGGCGGAGUAAUCACAGGGAGAGAGAGGCCCAGCUGGCCCACUAGCUGAAUGUAGCCAAUGAGGGAGCCCAAGCAAGAUCAGCAGAACUAUGCGGCCAAAGCGGAGAAACCUCCCCUUGCUUAAGCAUCAUCUGAAUCCAGCCCCAUGUACUCUUCUGAAGCUCCUGUUGGACUGUAGACAUGAUGGCUGGAAUUUAAACAGCUAUAAAGGACCGAAAGGUAGAAGCCACAUGUUGAGAAUGGAAGAAAUUAAUUAGGUCCCUGAUGGUCACAGAAUCACCAUACUAAUCUAGACUGCC